rnacentral:tRNA from 1 species
AGGGGAUAAGUGUUANGGUAGCACGACAGGCUCCAACCCUGUAAGCGUGGGUUCGACUCCUACAUCCCUUGCCA